UACGAAGGGGGCUAGCGUUGCUCGGAAUCACUGGGCGUAAAGCGCACGCAGGCGGACUGUUAAGUCCGGGGUGAAAUCCUGGAGCUCAACUCCAGAACUGCCUUUGAUACUGGCGAUCUUGAGUCCGGGAGAGGUGAGUGGAACUGCGAGUGUAGAGGUGAAAUUCGUAGAUAUUCGCAAGAACACCAGUGGCGAAGGCGGCUCACUGGCCCGGUACUGACGCUGAGGUGCGAAAGCGUGGGGAGCAAACAGG
rnacentral:rRNA from 1 species